GGACCUUUAGCUCAGUUGGUUAGAGCAGACGGCUCAUAACCGUCCGGUCGUAGGUUGGAGCAUGUGGUUUA
rnacentral:tRNA from 1 species